rnacentral:rRNA from 1 species
UACGGAGGGUGCGAACGUUAAUCGGAAUCACUGGGCGUAAAGCGCGCGUAGGCGGUCCGUUAAGUGGGAUGUGAAAUCCCCGGGCUCAACCUGGGAAUUGCAUUUCAAACUGGCGGACUAGAGUGCGGUAGAGGGAGGUAGAAUUUCCUGUGUAGCGGUGAAAUGCGUAGAUAUAGGAAGGAAUACCAGUGGCGGAGGCGGCCUCCUGGAUCGACACUGACGCUGAGGCGCGAAAGCGUGGGGAGCAAACAGG